UAGCCUAAUGGUUAAGGCUACGGAUCGCCAAUCCGGAGACGGCGGGUUCGACUCCCGU
rnacentral:tRNA from 1 species